GAUGAACGCUGGCGGCGUGCCUAAUACAUGCCAGUCGAGCGAACGGACGAGAAGCUUGCUUCUCUGAUGUUAGCGGCGGACGGGUGAGUAACACGUGGAUAACCUACCUAUAAGACUGGGAUAACUUCGGGAAACCGGAGCUAAUACCGGAUAAUAUUUUGAACCGCAUGGUUCAAAAGUGAAAGACGGUCUUGCUGUCACUUAUAGAUGGAUCCGCGCUGCAUUAGCUAGUUGGUAAGGUAACGGCUUACCAAGGCAACGAUGCAUAGCCGACCUGAGAGGGUGAUCAGCCACACUGGAACUGAGACACGGUCCAGACUCCUACGGGAGGCAGCAGUAGGGAAUCUUCCGCAAUGGGCGAAAGCCUGACGGAGCAACGCCGCGUGAGUGAUGAAGGUCUUCGGAUCGUAAAGCUCUGUUAUUAGGGAAGAACAUAUGUGUAAGUAACUGUGCACAUCUUGACGGUACCUAAUCAGAAAGCCACGGCUAACUACGUG
rnacentral:rRNA from 1 species